ACAUGCCUUUCCUCCCCACUAGAAUGGAAACUCAAAGAUCAAAAACCUAUUUGUUCUGUUCACUGUUGUAUUGCCAGCAUUUUGACAUAUAUAAGGACAAUCGUCUAAAUCAACAUUCCAAAUGACUUAGACUUUUUUGGGAAUAGGCUUGUGAUCAAGACAGUAUGAAGCCAAGAAUAUAUGUGGCAGCCAGAUAGACUUAGGGAUGGCCAAGAAACAGAUGGUGGUGUUGUGACCCAAUCCUGGACGGGGAAACCAAAGGGCAAUCAGCUGUGUGUGUGUGAAGGGCAGAGGAGAGCUUCUGAGGAUGUUUCUGCUUUCUGAUACAAAGACAGACAUUGCUGGUGCUGUGUACUACGCUCUUCUUCCUGCCAUGAAUGUUGAAGUGAUGGCUUGUGAUGAAGCCGCCGUCCUACAACCUGGAGAGAAAGCCUUGCCAUUUUGAGCCACUGAACCAAUGCCAGAUGCCACUUACUUGCAGACAUUUUGUUAAAUGACAACAACAAUCUCAUAUUUGCUUAAGCCCCUGUUAGGUUACCUGUUACUGAAAACAAUCCUAACUGAUGCAGGGGUGUCUGAGUUUGUAUGUGUAUGCACAUGUCUAGGCAAGUAGAACAUUUAAAGGUGACAGUAGCAAGAUACAUGUUAAUUUGUACCCAAAGUUGGCUGGUCCAGUGUCACCUGGAUAUUUAGCAAGGGAAAGCAGGGAUGGAUUGCCAACUUCGUUAAGGUCACACUUAUAACAUGGGAGAGGUUAGGGAUCUGGAGUUUAAAUUUCAUUAAUUAAAUCUGAUGUUCAGGAGACCAGUCUCCCCAAAAUGCUGGCUAUAUUAUAUUGCGGAAAACAGUAUCAUGUGUAUUUAUCAAAAGCUAAGUUUAAGAAGAAAUCUGCUUUUCAUUUUCAAUGUUAACCUCAUUUUAUUUCUUUUUAUAAAAACAAAAUAUAUUCUGUUUAAAUUUUUGGCUAUUUGAAUAAAGAACAAACAGCAUUUACAAAAUGUUACAUUAAAACAACUUACUUUAGGUUUUAAAAAUUUAAAGUGUUUAUGACAAAAAUGGCUUAAAAUAAAAUGGC
rnacentral:lncRNA from 1 species